rnacentral:rRNA from 1 species
UACGUAGGGGGCAAGCGUUGUCCGGAAUCACUGGGCGUAAAGCGCGCGCAGGCGGUCAUUACGUCUGGGUGAAAGCCCGGAGCUCAACUCCGGGAUUGCCUUGGAUAACGGGAUGACUUGAGGAUCGGAGAGGCAAGGGGAAUCCACGUGUAGCGGUGAAAUGCGUAGAGAUGUGGAGGAACACCUGUGGCGAAAGCGGCGCACUGGACCAUAACUGACGCUGAGGCGCGAAAGCUAGGGAGCAAACAGG